AUGAAUUGUCUAGCCUGGAACUAUCGAGGAUUGGGGUUGAACUCGAUAGUUGACGAGCUACGAGACAUGCUACAGUUGUACAACCCAACUGUGGUGUUUCUGAGUGAGACAACGAAAAAAGCGAGGGCUAUGGAGAGGUUAAAGUGGAGCUUGGAGAUUCGCCAAGGAGUGGCUAUGGACUGUAAUGGGCAAAGUGGAGGGCUAGCCUUAUGGUGGAGAGAUAAUGUGCAAGCCACGGUUAGACCAUGGUCCAAUACUUCAUUGAUGCAGAGCUUGUCAUCGAUAGUCUAUGAUUCACUCGAUUCUAUGGGGAGCCCAAGAUAG
rnacentral:rRNA from 1 species